rnacentral:rRNA from 1 species
UACGUAGGGUGCAAGCGUUAAUCGGAAUUACUGGGCGUAAAGCGUGCGCAGGCGGUUUUGUAAGUCUGAUGUGAAAUCCCCGGGCUCAACCUGGGAAUUGCAUUGGAGACUGCAAGGCUAGAAUCUGGCAGAGGGGGGGGUAGAAUUCCACGUGUAGCAGUGAAAUGCGUAGAUAUGUGGAGGAACACCGAUGGCGAAGGCAGCCCCCUGGGUCAAGAUUGACGCACAUG